rnacentral:rRNA from 1 species
UACAGAGGCCUCGAGCGUUAGGCGGAAUCACUGGGCUUAAAGCGUGUGUAGGUGGAUGCCUAAGUACCUUGUGAAAUCCCACAGCUUAACUGUGGAAUGGCUGGGUAUACUGGGCGCUCUUGAGCCACUCAGGGGCUACCGGAACAAGCGGUGGAGCGGUGAAAUGCGUAGAUAUCGCUUGGAACGCCAAUGGUGAAAACAGGUAGCUGGGGGUGUGCUGACACUGAGACACGAAAGCCCAGGGGAGCGAACGGG